rnacentral:rRNA from 1 species
UACGUAGGGUGCAAGCGUUAAUCGGAAUUACUGGGCGUAAAGCGUGCGCAGGCGGUUUUGUAAGUCUGUCGUGAAAUCCCCGGGCUCAACCUGGGAAUUGCGAUGGAGACUGCAAGGCUAGAAUCUGGCAGAGGGGGGUAGAAUUCCACGUGUAGCAGUGGAAUGCGUAGAGAUGUGGAGGAACACCGAUGGCGAAGGCAGCCCCCUGGGUCAAGAUUGACGCUCAUGCACGAAAGCGUGGGGAGCAAACAGG